AAGUCGUAACAAGGUUUCCGUAGGUGAACCUGCGGAAGGAUCAUUAUUGAAGGGGAAAAAAACUCCCCCAAAAAGGAUGUAGGCCAGCCUAAAUUUGGCUGGCACACACUGGCUAUGAAACCCUUGUCUAUAAGUACUCUUGUUUCCUCGGCAGGCUUGCCUGCCAAUGGGGACCCUAAUCAAUCUUUUAAUAUUGUUGUAACCGUAACCAAACAAAUAAUCAAAACUUUCAACAACGGAUCUCUUGGUUCUG
rnacentral:misc_RNA from 1 species